GCACAAACUCCACAUUUUCCUUGCUUUUUGAAAGGAACAAAACAAAUACUAGUUAAUUUGGAAAUGAGACAAAGGAGAGGGAUAAAAGAAAAUACAAAAUGUUGAAUUUAAGAUAAACAUCAGCCAAGAACUCCACUGAAGAUACAAUGAUUAUGAUUUGAUAUUAAUGUUUCAAAAAAUUGACAGACACGUGAAAAACCAAAAUAAUUGAGAUAAUAAAAUGUAAAUGAUUGAAAAUUGAGCUCUGAAAAGAAUGGUAUCCUUAAAAGAAUCAACACCAUAAAGAAUAAAACCUAAAAAAGAAGUUUCAAUAUGUAAUUAUACUCCUGCAAUACCUGUUAGGAA
rnacentral:misc_RNA from 1 species